GACGAACGCUGGCGGCGUGCUUAACACAUGCAAGUCGAACGGGAUUUAGUAGACAGAAGCCUCGGCUAAAGAUUACUAAUGAGAGUGGCGAACGGGUGAGUAACGCGUGAGCAACCUGCCUAUGACAGUGGGAUAGCCUCGGGAAACCGGGAUUAAUACCGCAUAAAAUCGUAGAAACACAUGUUUUAACGGUCAAAGAUUUAUCGGUCAUAGAUGGGCUCGCGUCUGAUUAGCUAGAUGGUGAGAUAACAGCCCACCAAGGCGACGAUCAGUAGCCGGUCUGAGAGGAUGAACGGCCACAUUGGAACUGAGACACGGUCCAAACUCCUACGGGAGGCAGCAGUGGGGAAUAUUGCACAAUGGGGGAAACCCUGAUGCAGCGACGCCGCGUGAACGAAGAAGGUAUUCGUAUCGUAAAGUUCUGUCCUAUGGGAAGAUAAUGACAGUACCAUAGAAGAAAGCUCCGGCUAAAUACGUG
rnacentral:rRNA from 1 species